rnacentral:lncRNA from 1 species
AUUGAACGACAAAACACAUUGCAAGGGUUGAUUCAUGACAUCGUUUACAGAUCUUCCGUCGGACAUUCUUCUUACAAUUUUCGACAAGAUCGGAUCGAGCACAUGACAUCUUACACUCGGCACAAUUUGUGUGCAAGGAAUGGUAUAACCAUUCUCUCAAUUUUCAAACAUGGAGUCAUAUCGAUGGAACAGACUUAAUCUUCAAGGAACUCGAGGUUGCUCUAGAUCGUAGUUCUGGGGGUUUGAUUGACUACGAAACUUAUACACUGAAUAUACGGG